rnacentral:rRNA from 1 species
GACGAACCGUGCGAACGUUGUUCGGAAUCACUGGGCUUAAAGGGCGCGUAGGCGGGCUGCCAAGUCUGGGGUGAAAUCCCACGGCUCAACCGUGGAACUGCCUCAGAUACUGGCGGCCUCGAGGGAGGUAGGGGCAUGCGGAACUAUGCGUGGAGCGGUGAAAUGCGUUGAUAUGCAUAGGAACUCCGGUGGCGAAGGCGGCGUGCUGGACCUCUUCUGACGCUGAGGCGCGAAAGCCAGGGGAGCAAACGGG